ACAAAGAGUGCUACUUGAUACUUCUACUAAACCCAAAAUGAGUCUCGUCAAUAUCCUUCCAACAAUCCUUUCGCUUGCCCUGUUAUUCAUCACCUCAACCCAUGCUGCCACCUUUGACGUUGUGAACCGAUGUACCUACACUGUUUGGGCAGCAGCCUCACCCGGUGGUGGUCGCCGUUUAGACCAAGGCCAGACUUGGACCUUUGAUGUGGCACAGGGAACUAAUAUGGCCCGUAUAUGGGGCCGAACUAAUUGCAACUUUGAUGCCAAUGGGCAGGGUCGAUGUGAGACAGGUGAUUGCACGGGAGGGCUAGUUUGUCAAGGCUGGGGAAGUCCACCAAAUACCCUAGCUGAGUUUAAAUUAGAUACGGGCAACAACAAUGAUUUUAUUGAUAUCUCCCUUGUUGAUGGGUUCAACAUCCCAAUGGACUUUAGUCCUACCACCGGAGCUUGUCGUGGAAUUCGAUGUGCAGCGGAUAUUAAUGGGCAGUGUCCUGCCGAGUUGAAGGCUCCUGGAGGCUGUAACAACCCUUGUACGGUUUUUAAGACCAAUGAGUAUUGCUGCACUAACGGACAAGGAAGUUGUGGCCCAACUACUUUCUCCAAGUUCUUCAAGGACAGGUGCCCUGAUGCUUAUAGCUACCCUCAGGAUGAUCCAAGCAGUACAUUUACUUGUCCUAGCGGCACUAACUACAGGGUUACAUUUUGUCCAUGAGCACUCGAUUUCAUGGAAGAGCUUAGAGUAUAUAGUGAGUGAGUAUAUUGUAUAAUAAGAGCUUCUGCAUCCUCUUGUGAAGCCAAUAUUAUAAAUUUGCUUAUAAAAGAAAGAAGUAUUAUCCUUCAAGUUAAUUAUGCACACGUAUUACUGAAACCAUAUAUGUGAUAUCAAGUUAACAAUUUGUUACAGUGUUUUUUCCGAUCUCCUUAAAAUAUAUAUGUUGCUAAAUAGAAAAGUUUAGCAUGCAGUAUGGUACCAUUUGCAAAAAUAUAGUUUUAUUAAAUUUCUAGAAAUUGCUUUAGAAAUUAUCAAAAUUACAUAUAUACGUUAUAUGCAAGCAAUAAAUUAAUCUUUGUUUAUGAUAGUGUUUUUUUUUUCUUUUGUUACGUGUUUCUUAUUAUUACAUUUUAUUUUGAUAAGCUGGUCUAAUUUAUUUAAUUUGUUAGAAAAAUAUUUUAUUUUUUCAUCUUGUUGUAUCAUCUUUCAACAAUUUCAUCAUAUAAUUACUAUGACAUUAUAUCAUUAGUUAUUUAUUUAUUAAAACUAAUGUGAUAUAUUUCUUAAUCAUAUCAUAUAAUCAAAUUUUACGUAAUAUUAUUUAAGAACAUAAAAAUAUAUAUAUAUUAUAAUAUUUCAGAAUAUCUAAAAUAAAAAAUUAGAUAUCAAGUUUUAUUAAUUAUUCAUUAAAUGAUAUUUUAUUUAUCUAAAAUAUAUUUGAGUAAAAGUGAACAUUAUUUCAAACUGGUAGCCAAAGUUUAACACAUUUUCUGAAAUGGUAUCGUAGCAUCUAAAGUAUCAGUCGACAAAAAUAUUCUUUCUCCGGCUGCCAUAUUAGUAAAAGUGGAGCAAUUUUUCUUUGAUCCGAAACUAAAAACUGAAGCAUAGAUACGGAAGUGUUACAAUUAAAGAAUAAGUACCGAGUUGAAACUUAAUACAAACAGGGCUAUUUGGCAUGCGGAGCACUCAAGUUCAAGCUCCUAAAAAACCCUUCAUGGUGUUCCAAAUAAUUCCCCGCCUCGACUUGCGAGGUUGCGUACAAUGUUAUUACGAGAAAUGGUCACUGUAAGAAAGGUCAUUGUAGUCGUCUUUAGCAAGUCGACGAGAAGGUCCUAACAUGGCUGCAAUUUGUACAAAUCAACGUGUUCUUAGAGAUAUCAAGUGCAUAUUUUUGUUGCCCAUGUGCAACUGCAAUAUGAGUAUGCUUUUUAAGUUUCUGUCAGCAGAUUAAAGCCAAACCAUCACGAGUAGAGCUAUCCAACAAAUUAACAAAAGCAUCAGAAUUUAUAAAUCAUUAAAUUGAGAAAAAUCUCUUGAAGAUUACCAUUUAAUCAAUUGUCAGACAGGUUAAUAGCAUCGAAUGAAGCAUUAUUUUAUUCGAUUCAAUUUUUAUUCUCUUUCUUCUAAUAAAUUCAUUAAAUUCAAAUAAUAAGCACUCUUGAAUGGUAGAAUUUCUUCACAUAAAUGAUAUAUUUAAUUUAUAUGUCUAUUAAAUGACGAUUCUAAUUUAAAAAUAAUAUUUUAAUUAAAUUUAGAAAAGCCCUUAGCAGCUCAAAUUGAUCCAAAUCAAGAGGGAUGAUGGUUUAAUUUUUUAAAAUUUUAAUUAGAGAUUUUGAUAAGUUCAUAGUUAUUUUUAGAGAUUUAAUGAUAUAUUUUUUAUAUAUAUUAUGGUAAAAAGAAAAAAUAUGAAGCUAAAUAUUAACAAAUAUGGCUUAAAUAGAACUACUGCUGCUGAGAUCCAAAAUUAUAGAUAUGCGGACUGCUAUUUUUACAAGCUUGGCUGAAUUAUACAGGGUCCAAAGGAUGGAUUAAUUAGUCUUUUGUGUAAUAGCUGAAAUUUUUUCUUUAAUAAAGAUAAUAUUAAUAAUGAUUAAAAAAUGAGUUUUAUUUAAAUUAAUUUAAUUAUAUUUUUAUUCGGUUUAAUUGAAAUGAUUUAAACGCAAUUUUAAAAUUUAAUAUUAGACAAAUAAAUGAGUUAUUUCUAUACCCAAUUAGUUUGAUUUUUAAGGAGUUAAUUAAGUAAAUUAUUUGAGAAAUAAAUUAUAUUUUUGGUCAUUCUAAAUUUUUUCCAAAUGUAUAUAUAUAUAAAUAAAAAUUAUAUAUUGGAGAAUUAUAGAAGAAUUUGUAACGGAGGCUUUUAUAACAGAAAUUUCUUGGAGAAAUUGGUAUUUUAAUUAGCUAGUGGUAUUUAAUUUUAAGUUGAAAAAUAUUUAGCAAAUUAGUUAUUUAAUUUAAUUGUGUUAGGACUAAAUUGAAAAUUUAUUUUGGAAUAAGGAUUAAAGGUAUAAUCUCAUUAGUAUGGGAUUUUAAUGGAAAUUUGUAUGUUUGGUAUUUUUAUAAUUAAAUAUGUCGGCAAGGGCUUUUUGAUAAUUUUACAUUUAAAAGCAAGGGUAUAUAUGUAAUUGUGUAUUUUCAAUAAUUCUAAUUUGGCCCAAAUUAAAUAGUUAGGGGCUCAAUUGAAAAGCUAAAGAAAAAUUUAGGGGUUAUUUGGAAAUUCUGUAUAGUAAAAUUGUAGUAAUUUAAAAAGUUGAGGGACCAAAAGGUAAGAAAAAAAGUUCAGGGACCACUUGAUGAUAUAGAGAAAAAAGAAAAAGAGAAGAGGUCGGGGAGAGAGAAGGUGCGAAGGAGAAGAGGAAAGGAGGCGCUGCGUCGUCCAGCCGGUGGCGACCGACCGUUGGGCGCGCAAUGCCGGCCGAAGGCGCUGCUGGUGUCGGCAAGUGCAUUGGCAGCGACACCAGCGGGUGGCGGCGGUAACACGCGCGGGGAGGAAGGCAGCCAAAACUUCUUUGUCGUCGUGCGUGCGAUUCUGGCGACGGUAGCCGCUGAUUCUAGUGGCGAUCGACUCCUCUCGGCAAGAGCUUCCUUUUGGCGGUAGCGGCGACGUGAAUGGUGGCUGAAGAUGGAAGUUCGCGGUGGAGAGAGAAAGUGGAUGGUAGCCGCAUUUUUUGGCUUUUCCGGCGAGCUCCGGCGGAUGAUGGAUGAUUGGAGGACGUAUCCCGACUCUCCUCAGCUCAAGCUUCGCAAUGGCACCAGUUUCGUAGCGAUCGGACUUCGUUUGCAAAUCGACGGCCGAGAUCGUCCUCAGAUCUCUCUAGAUAAUUAGGGGUCGGAUCGGAAAAUUGGAAGUGGGGAUCAUCAUCGGCGCGUCGUUUCGAGUCCGAUGGUGAGUUCGGAUCGUCGAUCGGACUCCGGCCGCUGGAAGCGAGUCGACCGAGCGAUCAAGCGUCUCGGUAAUUUUCUCUGGCCCUUUGAUUUAAUUAUGUGUCUAUUGAAUUGUGUUGUCUAUUAGAUGAUAUUUGUGAGUCAAAAAUAAUAGUUUGUUGGACUGCCUACCGUAGUCUUGAUUUUUGUGCUGUGUGGCGGAGUCGGGAAAUUAGUGAAGUCUUGGGGACCCGAUUCCCGUUGUAUUAAUUGUUAAAUAUUUGAAGUGUUUUUUUUGGCAGGUCCUGGAUCCGUUUUACGGAGGGUAAAUGUCUGUAUUUUAGGGGAAGUUCUGCCGGAUUUUUGGUAGAAUUCUUUUGAGUCGAGAUUCUUAGACAGUCAAUCCUAGAAAUCUAGACCUAGGAUUAAUGGUCAAUUGUUUCAGCAUUUUGAUAAAUUGUUUUCCGUGAUUAGAUAAUCUGUUUGUUCGGCUCGCUCCAACCGAGGCACCGGAGCAGAGCUAGGAGGUUGCCAAAGCUGUGAGUUAAAGUCAUAAAUCUGCUUACGUGUAUCAUGCUUUUGAUUACUAUUCAUUUAUAUAUCAUUUUCUUUAUCAUUGAUUUUAUUAUUGCAUGAUGACUUGGGAUGGGACGACAGUAGAACAUAAGAGUUUGAUGAGUGUUCCGGUAUAAAUCUGAGAGUGAUGGAAAUGGGUAAAUAGGUAAAUUUAAAAAGAAAAGAUUAGGACUUGCCCUAGUCGAACAUCUCUCUCUAGGCUUAGUAGAGUGUGGUUGCCGGAGUAAAGGUCUCUGGUCGAGCAUUGCUCUCUGGGCGCCGGCUUAUUUGGAAACCUAAGUGACCAGAUUGGAGGUAAGGUCCCUGAUCGAGCUUCACUCUCCGGGUGCCAGUCUUAUUGGAAUAAAAUAGCCGAAAGGCUAAGGCUGAUAACGGACAUUAAGUGACCGGACUGAAGUUAAGGAACUUGGUCGAGCUUCGCUCUCUGUGCGCCAGUUCCGUUGGAAUGAGAGAGUCAAGAUGUUAAAGCUGAGAUUAGUUGAGAUGUCAGUGUUGAGAUUGACUGAGAUGUUAGUAUUGGGAUUAGGAUUCUACUGAAGUACUCCGUCCCGUAGUGUGUAAGAAAUUAUUUUAUUUAAUUUAAGCAUGACAUGACACGUUUGUUAGUAUUUAUUUCAAAUUAAAUAAAUGUAUUAUUAAAGUGAUUGCAACUAUUUUUAGAUAUAUGAUUUUAACUCACUCUCGAGACUAACAGUCUUAUUUUCACUGUUUUUUAGAUCCGUGACUGUUAGUCUUUCCGCGACUCUUAUCUAAUAAUCCGACUCCUUCCUCGUCGGGUGAUGUAAAUUGAUUUGGUAUGUUAAUUUGUAAAUUCUUAGAUUUUCCGCAGUUGAAAUAGUAGAUGUAUCAGUUGUAAUAUUUUGUAGUUUCGGGUCUAGCAUAAUUCUGGCAGGCCGAAUUAAUUGUGUAAAUUUAAUGGUUAAGAAAUUGUGGGAUCAAUAAUAUUAAAUGAGAUGAGAUUUAUUUAAGUCUGUGAGUGUCAGACUUUCAUAGACACUUUAGCUUUAGUUUUCAUUAUUUUUUUUAAGAUUUAAGAAGCUUUUCAAUAUGUAGAGAGUGAGUACCAAUCAUCUUCUUAUAUAAAAAAUUCUGAAUUUCAAAUGAGCUUUUAUUUUAUAUUUUAUUUUCAAGUCCUUCUAUUUAAUUAUAAUGACCAUUAGAUUAAAUAUGUUAGCCUAGUUUUUAUAAGUGUUUACUUUAACAUUUUACUUAUGUAUGAAUCUUGGAUUUAUUUAUUGGAUGAAUGAUUUCUUUACCUUCACAUCUUUAUAAGUUUCAAUUGUUAUUGUUAGUUGACCAUCAUAUCAAUUUGAUAAUAACCGUUGUUAUAAAUUUUUUUUAGAUUGAAUGUAUUAAAAAACAUUAUCUUUAUUUCAACCUAUGUUGAUAGAAGAAAUUUCAGUAGUAUCAUUAGUUUAAAUAAUUAAAAGAAAAUACGCAUCACCAUCUCAUUCAUUAGACUAAAUAAAGAAAUUACUAAAUAAAUAGUUAGGUUAAAUAUUAUUUUAUCAUAUAGCUUUUAUACAUCAUAAUUAUUUAUAACUUAUUACAUUUAUUUUAUGAUUAUAUUUAUUUCUCAAAAUAUUAAUUUAAAAUAUUUAAAUUUAUUUGUAGUGUUUUUAUUUGAUAAUUAGUUUUCAUAAUAAAUAGCCUUAUAAUUCUUUGAGAGAUUGAUCUUCGGGUGUUUUACCACUUUUACUAUAAAAAUAGUUCGUGCACUUACGAACAAUUCAUCAAAUUUAAUUUAAAUUAGCUUAAUUACAUUAAUAUGUUAAUUCUAAAAUACCUUUAAAUUUUAAAUUUUUACUCUCCCUAUCCUCUUAGAUAAACAUCAAAUGUUUUGUUAAUUACCAGUGCAUUGAGUGAUGGGGCAUUUAAUUGGAAUUUAAAUUUUUAAUAUGUUUAAGUAUUAUGUAUAUGCAUAUGUAAUUAUGAAAACAUAAACAAGAAUGCUAACAACACUCUUCCAUUAACACUUUUUAGAUAAUUGUCUUUUUAUUAGUCCACUUUAUCUAAGAAAAUAAAAUUUAUUUGUCAUUUCUCUCUCUUCUUAAUGCUGCAAAAGGUGAAUAAUUUUUUUUUUUUUUUUUUUUUUUUUUUUUUUUUUUUAUGGUUAAUGUAAAGUCACUCUUUACAAUUCUAAAAACUCCAAAUUUAUGAAAGAGUCAAAUUCUCUAAAACUUCAUCUACAUGAUUUAUUAAUUUAUUAAUUUCUAUUUCUAUUUGAAUAAUAAUUCUAAUUUUAAUAUUAUAUUAAAACUGAUUUGUAAUUAUAAAAUAAAGCAUACUAAUUAAAUAUUUAAUCUUAAUUAUAUAGUAACUAAUAAGUACUUUUAAUAUAAUUUCUAUAUUUAUUGUGUUAAUAAAAUUCUAAAAUAUCAAAUAUUUUAUUAAUUGAAUUAAAAGAUAUCCAAUUCAGAAUUGGUGAGAGUAUAUCCUGAAUUAAAAAAUUGAUAAUAUUUCACGGCAAUAUAAGUUGAUUUUGUUAUUGGAAAAGAAUAUCCAAAAUGACUUAUAGUCAGUCAAUUAUAUUAAUGGGAAAUUUACUUUCCAUGUGUCCCAAGUUGACAAAUCAACAGUAAUUAAAAAAGGUGGCCCGACCUUUUAAUUAAGGUGCAUGCAUUUAUGUUUCUUCUAUGUACAUUAGGACGAAUCAAGAAAAUCAACUUAUAGUCAGUCAAUUAUAUUAAUGUCGACGCAUUGAAUACUAAUUCUUCUAUGUGUAUACUUAGUCCUGCCCGCCUUCCAGGACGUAUAACAAUAAAUGUAUAAAUAUCUACACAACUUGACUACCACUCAAAUUAAAUCCAUAUAAUAAUCAAUGUAUAUCUUAUAUAAUAAGAUAAUUUUAUUAAUUUAUUAAGCACUUCUAUAUAAAUUAUUAUUUUUAAAAUUAAAAUUUAUUAUUUAUUUAAAGAGUGGUUUUUUUAUUUAAUAUAUUAUUUUAAAGACUAAUACCUAUAUUAAAAAUAAGCAUAUUUUUCUUUUAUAUUUCAGUUCCUAUAUAUAUAUAUAUAUAUUAAUUUAUUCAAUUGAUAAUUACAGACCCUUAGACAUGUUUUAUAUUUAUUUACUAACUUAUUUUUCACAUUUAUAAAUGAUAAUACUAAUUUAUUAAUAAAUUGUUCCGAGCUUAUCAAACUCUUUUUUUAUUUCUUUUUCUUUUUAAUAAAUUGUCCAUCGAUUUGUAUUUAUAUGUUUUACGGUUAUUGUUAUUAUUUCAACUACAAAUAUUUUUAAUUUGUAAACUUAAAGCUGAAUUUUCUAAAAAUAGUAUAUAUAUAUAAUUUAAUAAAUUCUAAAUUCAUAUAACAAGUGUAAUUUAUAAUUUAUUAGUCGUCCAAUAAAUAAAUAAAAAAAAUUAAUAAAUAACAAACAACCUCAUUGGACAUCCUUAGUCAGCUAAUACAUCCAAUUUGCAGACUAAUACAUCUUAUUCUAAUGUUAGUUUGGACUUUAAUGAAUUAAAAACUGAGCAAGAGAACAAGAAUCUCUUGCGACCACCAAGUAAGAAAGUUAAACAUUGUCUGUUAAGAUUUGCGGAAGAAGAAGGCCGUUAACAAAAACUUGACUGGAAAUCAACCAAAAGCUAGAGUUUCUCCUCGAAAAUAAAGAAAGAAAGAAAGAAGAAGCACCGCACAUUCUAGAAUAGAUUCAAAGUGUGCUGCCUAAGACUGUUUAAAUGUGAAGGGUGAGGUGUGCUGCAUUAUGAGCAAAUUCUAAUUACCGACCUCCUAGACUGUUUAAAAUGGGACAGGUCCUUCAUUCUGCUGCAUUAUGUGCAAAUUCUAAUUACUGAGCUCCUAGUCUAAUGGCUGUCCAUUCACAUGGUGGCAUAACAUACAAUUUGAAAAUGACAAAACUAGUGAGUUGUAGGCUAGCUACUCAACUAUGUUGAUGCUAAGAAUUAUUAUUUUUUUUCUCAUAUUUCUGGCAUGCAUAAUUGGAGAUUAUUUAAUCAUUCAUUUAAAUUUUGAAAUAUUCUAUAUAAUUAUUUUCCAUGUCUUAUUCUUAGAAUUUGAUUGCUUAUUAUUAUUAUUCAGUUAGAAAAAAAUAUAAAAAAAAUUGAGACUGCAGAAGUAGAAUCCAAGAAUAUCAUAUGUUCCCAAGGAAAUGAAGAAAAAAAAAACAAACACCAAUUUUUCUUAGCACAAAAAAUCUAGUAUUAUAGUGGUCUAAGUCGUGCCAAACCAUAGGCACAUAUCAUUAUGUUCUUUAUUCGGAAAUCAAUUUAAUUAUGGUGAAUAAGAUUUAUAGGUCCAAUAAUUUCUUAAUUAUUUUAUUGAUGGAUAAAAUUGCAUUUUUAUAUUAAAAUGAAAUAUUUUAGUUUUAUCUUAAUAAGAUAGAGUAUGACAUUAACACCACCCGCAGUAUCCAAAGUCAACAUUUACAUGCCAAACCAAGUACAUUCCCCAUCUAUAAAAAUUUUACCCUUAACCAUUGGCACUAACAUCACAAGAACAACAGAGUGUUUGAUACUUCUACUAAACCCAAAAUGAGUCUCAUCAAUAUCCUUCCAACAGUCCUUUCCCUUGCCUUGCUAUUCACCACCUCAACCCAUGCUGCCACCUUUGACGUUGUGAACCGAUGUAGCUACACUGUCUGGGCAGCAGCCUCACCCGGUGGUGGCCGCCGUUUAGAUCGAGGCCAAACUUGGACCUUCAAUGUGGCACAAGGAACUA
rnacentral:lncRNA from 1 species